UGGGGGAUAUUGCACAAUGGGCGAAAGCCUGAUGCAGCGACGCCGCGUGGGGGAUGAAGGCCUUCGGGUUGUAAACUUCUUUUGCUCUGAACAAGGCGCACCAUGGGGUGUGUUGAGUGUAGGGGUUGAUUAGCGCCGGCUAACUACGUGCCAGCAGCCGCGGUAAUACGUAGGGCGCGAGCGUUGUCCGGAAUUAUUGGGCGUAAAGGGCUUGUAGGUGGCUGGUUGCGUCGGUCGUGAAAGCUCAUGGCUUAACUGUGGGUUUGCGGUGGGUACGGGCUGGCUUGAGUGCAGUAGGGGAGGCUGGAAUUCCUGGUGUAGCGGUGGAAUGCGCAGAUAUCAGGAGGAAUACCGGUGGCGAAGGCGGGUCUCUGGGCUGUUACUGACACUGAGGAGCGAAAGCAUGGGGAGCGAACAGG
rnacentral:rRNA from 1 species